rnacentral:lncRNA from 1 species
CUUAAGCUUGUAUAAAUUGGGCGGUUCUGUCACAGUAGGCGCAAACUGUGUACCUAUCUUGCACCAAAACUAACUCUGUCUCCAAACAGACCGAAGCGAGAUUCCAUAUGACACAUGUCAUCUAGGAGUUCUAUUGGGGUGCGUCCAAAUGGAUUUCUUAGCAUAUGGUAUUUUCCAUGCAAACCGUGCACCUAUUUUGUAUCAAGAUUAGCACUAUCUCCAAACAAAUCAAACCGACCUUCCACUUGAGCCUCUUCACCUAGGAUUAUCAUCAGGUGCUUCCAUAAUGGUUUCUAAGCCUAUGGUGCAUUAUGCGCAAACCAUGCACCAAUCUUGCACCUAAACUAACACUGUCUCCAAACAUAUUAAAGCGAGAUUCCACAUGACACACAUGAUCUAGGAGUUCUAUCUGGUGCGUCCAAAUUGAUUUCCGAGAAUAUGGUACGUUCCAUGCAAACCAUACACCUAUCUUGCAUCAAGAUUAGCACUAUCUCCAAACAUACCGAACUAAGCUUUCACUUGAGCCUCUUCAGCUAGGAGUACCAUCGGGAACUUCCACAACAGUUUCAGAGCCUAUGGUGCACUAGGCACAAACCAUGCACCGGUCUUGCACCGAA